GUGAUCGAGUCGUACCGGGGAUCCUCUAGAGUCUCUGGUGAUCCUGCCGGACCCGACUGCUAUCAGAGUGGGACUAAGCCAUGCGAGUCAACGUAGCAAUGCGUGGCGAACGGCUCAGUAACACGUAGUCAACAUGCCCAGGGGACGUGGAUAACCUCGGGAAACUGAGAUUAAACCGCGAUAGGUCAAGAUUUCUGGAAUGGAUCGUGUCUUAAAUCUACAUGGCCCCUGGAUUGGACUGCGGCCGAUCAGGCUGUUGGUGAGGUAAUGGCCCACCAAACCUAUAACCGGUACGGGCUCUGAGAGGAGAAGCCCGGAGAUGGGCACUGAGACAAGGGCCCAGGCCCUAUGGGGCGCAGCAGGCGCGAAACCUCUGCAAUGGGCGAAAGCCUGACAGGGUUACUCUGAGUGAUUUCCGCUAAGGAGAUCUUUUGGCAGCUCUAAAAAUGGUGCAGAAUAAGGGGUGGGCAAGUCUGGUGUCAGCCGCCGCGGUAAUACCAGCACCCCGAGUGGUCGGGACGAUUAUUGGGCCUAAAGCAUCCGUAGCCGGUUGUGCAAGUCCUCCGUUAAAUCCAGCCGCUCAACGGAUGGGCUGCGGAGGAUACUACAGAACUAGGAGGCGGGAGAGGCAAGCGGUACUUAGUGGGUAGGGGUAAAAUCCUUUGAUCCAUUGAAGACCACCAGUGGCGAAGGCGGCUUGCCAGAACGCGCUCGACGGUGAGGGAUGAAAGCUGGGGGAGCAAACCGGAUUAGAUACCCGGGUAGUCCCAGCUGUAAACGAUGCAGACUCGGUGAUGAGCUAGCCUCGUGUCAGCCCAGUGCCGCAGGGAAGCCGUUAAGUCUGCCGCCUGGGGAGUACGGUCGCAAGACUGAAACUUAAAGGAAUUGGCGGGGGAGCACCACAAGGGGUGAAGCCUGCGGUUUCAUUGGACUCAACGCGGGG
rnacentral:rRNA from 1 species